AGAAGGGCAAGCUUAGAUGAAGGACUAAGCCAUGCAUGCCCAGUAUAAACUAAUCACUGGUGAAACUGCGGACGGCUCAUUAAAUCUGUCAAAAGAUCUCGUGCUGAAGGCAUAGUCGGCUAAUACGGGCAACUCUCUUACUAAUCGUGCACGUAGCAUCGGUUGUGAGUUUUGCUCAGGUUGAUUUGUGUUGCUAGUAUGACUGUUAGGCAAGCACGUCUCUUCUCAGAAACAUCAUUCCAGUAGGAGGAAUAAAGGUUAUCCUAUGAGAUCACGUUUACGGAGAAUUAGGGUUCGACUCCGGAGAAUGAGCAUGAGAGACGGCUCAUAGUUCUAAGGGAGGCAGCAGGCGCGUAAAUUGCCCAAUGUACAAUAGUACGAGGCAGUGACGACAAAUCUUGACCCACUUUUUGUGGGAUUAAGCUGACGACGUAGUACAGUUACGUUGAAACGCUAUUUUUGGGAAAGUUUGGUGCCAGCAGCCGCGGUAAUUCCAACAAAGAAAGCUUUCUCUUAUGUUGCUGCAGUUAAAAAGCUCGUAGCCUUUGUUAAGGUCGCAAGACCUGUGUCACUUUGAGAAAAUCAGAGCGUUCAUAUCAAGGAUACUGUUGCAUGCCACAGCAAAGAAUGACAUCCUAUCUCCACCAUGCGCAAGUGUGGCCGUGAGGUAGAUGUAUCAUAUGGUAAUACGGAGUACAUAGUACUAGUACCGGGACAGGUGAAAUAGUUUGAUCGGUUUAAGACUUCUGCAGCGUAGGCUGUGUACGAGUGCUUACCAGUUGGUCAAGAGCGAAAGUGUGAGGAUAGACGAUGAUUAGACACCGUUUUAUUUCUAGCCUUAAACGAUACCGUCUCGAGAGCGGGCUUCGUUCGCACUCCCAGGGAAAACCGGAAAGGUUACGGGUUCUGGGGGGAGUAUGGUUGCAAGACUGAAACUUGAAGGUAUUGACGGAAAGAUACCACCAGACGUGGAGUCUGCGGCUCAAUUUGACUCAACACGCAAAUCUUACCAGACCCAGAUGCUUUACGGAAUAACAGAUUGAGAGUUCUUUUAUGAUUGGGCAGUUGGUGGUGCAUGGCCGCUCCUAGUUCGUGGUGUAAACUGUCUGCCUUAUUGCGUUAACGAGCGAGACGACCGCCUCAAUAAUUUUGAGGGAGUGCUAGCGUUGAGUUAGACGAACGUGGUCGCACUAGCAGGUCUGUGAUGCCCUUAGACACUCUGGGCCGCACGCGUACUACAAUGAGAGUACCAAACCGUGCUUAGCCUGAAGGCUUGGCUAUUCGUUUGAAUUAUUCUCGUGGUAGGGAUCAGGGGUUGUAAUUGUCCCCUGUGAACGAGGAAUGUCUAGUACCUGUGCUUCAUUAUAGCACGAAGACUACGUCCCUGUCUUUGUACACACCGCCCGUCGCUCCUACCGACUUGGAUGUUAUGGUGAGUUGUUCGGAUUGACGUCUGCAAAGAUGUCGAGAAGUUCUGCGAAUCCCAAUGUCUGGAGGAAGGAGAAGUCGUAACAAGGUUGCUGUAGGGGAACCUGCAGCCGGAUCAUUAG
rnacentral:rRNA from 1 species